UAGCACUAUACGGUGAACUGCGAAUGGCUCAUUAAAUCAGUUAUCGUUUAUUUGAUAGUACCUUACUACAUGGAUAACCGUGGUAAUUCUAGAGCUAAUACAUGCUAAAAACCUCGACUUCGGAAGGGGUGUAUUUAUUAGAUAAAAAACCAAUGCCCUUCGGGGCUCCUUGGUGAAUCAUAAUAACUUAACGAAUCGCAUGGCCUUGCGCCGGCGAUGGUUCAUUCAAAUUUCUGCCCUAUCAACUUUCGAUGGUAGGAUAGUGGCCUACCAUGGUAUCAACGGGUAACGGGGAAUUAGGGUUCGACUCCGGAGAGGGAGCCUGAGAAACGGCUACCACAUCCAAGGAAGGCAGCAGGCGCGCAAAUUACCCAAUCCCGACACGGGGAGGUAGUGACAAUAAAUACUGAUACAGGGCUCUUUUGGGUCUUGUAAUUGGAAUGAGUACAAUUUAAAUCCCUUAACGAGGAACAAUUGGAGGGCAAGUCUGGUGCCAGCAGCCGCGGUAAUUCCAGCUCCAAUAGCGUAUAUUAAAGUUGUUGCAGUUAAAAAGCUCGUAGUUGAACCUUGGGCCUGGCUGGCCGGUCCGCCUCACCGCGUGUACUGGUCCGGCCGGGCCUUUCCUUCUGGGGAACCUCAUGCCCUUCACUGGGCGUGUUGGGGAACCAGGACUUUUACUUUGAAAAAAUUAGAGUGUUCAAAGCAGGCCUUUGCUCGAAUACAUUAGCAUGGAAUAAUAGAAUAGGACGUGUGGUUCUAUUUUGUUGGUUUCUAGGACCGCCGUAAUGAUUAAUAGGGAUAGUCGGGGGCAUCAGUAUUCAAUCGUCAGAGGUGAAAUUCUUGGAUUGAUUGAAGACUAACUACUGCGAAAGCAUUUGCCAAGGAUGUUUUCAUUAAUUCAGUGAACGAAAGUUAGGGGAUCGAAGACGAUCAGAUACCGUC
rnacentral:rRNA from 1 species